rnacentral:rRNA from 1 species
CUGCUGCCUUCCGUAGGAGUCUGGGCCGUGUCUCAGUCCCAGUGUGGGGGGCCUUCCUCUCAGAACCCCUACGCAUCGUCGCCACGGUGGGCCGUCACCCCGCCGUCUAGCUAAUGCGCCGCAUGCCCAUCCGCCACCGGAUCGCUCCUUUGGCCACCGGAGGAUGCCCUCCGGUGGCGUCACGGGGUAUUAGGCCGCGUUUCCGCGGGUUAUCCCCCUGUGGCGGCCAGGUUGCAUACGUGUUGCUCACCCGUGCGCCGGUCGCCGG